rnacentral:rRNA from 1 species
CAGCAGCCGCGGGAAAACGUAGGGUGCAAGCGUUAAUCGGAAUUACUGGGCGUAAAGCGUGCGCAGGCGGUUUGUUAAGACAGAUGUGAAAUCCCCGGGCUCAACCUGGGAACUGCAUUUGUGACUGGCAAGCUAGAGUCUGGCAGAGGGGGGUGGAAUUCCGCGUGUAGCAGUGAAAUGCGUAGAUAUGCGGAGGAACACCGAUGGCGAAGGCAGCCCCCUGGGCCAACACUGACGCUCAUGCACGAAAGCGUGGGGAGCAAACAGGAUUAGAUACCCGUGUAGUCCCUGUUUCUUAUAC